GACUAUUUUGGCCUCCAGUUGAAAAUUUUGAUAUCAGGAAGAUCUGGUAACUGCACCUGCAAGGAAAAUGAUUGCAGAAUCUUAUUAUUUCUAUCUAUUGGGUACUGUUUUUAGGUCAAAUACAAGGCUUUGUAAGAAAGUGAUUGUGGAUUGUGUGGUAUAUAUUAUUUUUUUUAUGUAAUUGCCACUUUGCCUAAUACCAUGAUUCUUUUGCUUUAAUAUACUGAACCGACUAGAAGGCCCAGUUAAUUGCACAUUGGGAAUUGUCAAACUCUUGACAGGGAGUGGCUGAAGGAGGAUUAAUUCUAAGCAAGCUGUUGUGUCCUCGUCCCUUAUUAUUUGCUCUCCAAUAAUAAGUAAUGAUAUCAGAGAAGG